CCCUUAGAUGUUCUGGGCCGCACGCGCGCUACACUGACGAAGUCAGCGAGCAUGUCCUACGCCGACAGGUGCGGGGAAUCAUGUCAAACUUCGUCGUGAUGGGGAUUGAUUAUUGAAAUUCUUGAUCAUCAACGAGGAAUUCCUAGUAAGCGCAAGUCAGCAGCUUGCGUUGAUUACGUCCCUGCCCUUUGUACACACCGCCCGUCGCUACUACCGAUUGAAUGGUUUAGUGAGAUCUUCGGAUUGGCGCCACUGCGGCUCAGCAAUGGGCUCGGUGGAUGCCGAAAAGUUGAUCAAACUUGAUCAUUUAGAGGAAGUAAAAGUCGUAACA
rnacentral:rRNA from 1 species